CAAACUAAAGAUGGCGACCGGCGCACGGGUGAGUAACACGUAUCCAACCUGCCGAUAACUCGGGGAUAGCCUUUCGAAAGAAAGAUUAAUAUCCGAUAGUAUAUUAAAACCGCAUGGUUUUACUAUUAAAGAAUUUCGGUUAUCGAUGGGGAUGCGUUCCAUUAGUUUGUUGGCGGGGUAACGGCCACCAAGACUACGAUGGAUAGGGGUUCUGAGAGGAAGGUCCCCCACAUUGGAACUGAGACACGGUCCAA
rnacentral:rRNA from 1 species